rnacentral:rRNA from 1 species
CACGCGCUCUUCGGUAGGUGUGUUCCAGUGCUCGGCGAACACCGCUCUCUGCCACUCUGUUCUUACCGCCCCGGGCAAACAGGACACUCUUUGCUAUUGCUUUUGAGAGCGCAGGAGGUUGGAAGAGACUUGAGACUUGUGGUGUUGUUGUCCUCUACCGCUGCAGCAGGGGCCGCGGCGGGGCGCACACGCAGUGGCCGCCGUUGCCCAAGUAUCCGAGCACCGAGCAGUUCGACGAGGAGAGGGCGCCGAUGCGGCAGGUGCGGUGGCAGGCGCUGGGUGCACUAGGCUUCUUGCGCAAGGACUGCCUCGACCUGCCUCGGGGCCGCUUGGACGCCGACAAGUUCCGCCUGUACGAGCUGACGCUGUGCCAGCGCCGGCGCAAGCGGCCGACGCUCCCGCAGAAGGUACAGCGGUGAGGUCACGGGCUGGUUUUCUACCAACUAGGUGUCUUUCUCUACUACCUUGGACGACAGUUCCCGUGGUACUUACACGAGUUCCGGACGAGUCGAUGCUUUCAAGUAUUUGAGUAACACCAGAGCAGGUAGCGGUGAUUAUAGAAGUUGGGCCUGACCGGAGCUCUAUUUUAGUUUCUGCUCUCGACGACCAGUCUGUUCCUCAAGACGUCUGUCUGACUCUUGACCAUGAGAGAACGUUUCUGACUUCGGCUCCUCUACCGGGACCUUAUGCCUCUCUUCUUGCCCGACGUGCAGCAGCGUGAAACGGGACCAGACCAGAAGCCGGGAGACAACGUCGUACACCGCCAAUUAUGGUCGUCGUUCCAGGAGCAGAUGUACUAUUUUCUAAGGUGAGGAGUCGAGUAGAUAGUGUUCCUAUGUAUUAGUAAAACAUGUAACGUGUAGUGUACACCAAUCUCCAAUCAUGAAAACCUUUGGUUUCGGCCAACAAAAGGAAGGUAAAACGACAAAAACAACAGCUUCACGUCGUCUCGCUACUUCAAGUCUUGUUUUUAACUGCGGCCUCCUCGAGGAGCCGAAAAUAUAAUUAUCACUCCGGGACUGUGCUACUUGUUGUUCAAGAAAGGGUAGCAUCUGCAAGCGCUACAAUGGCUGCGUAACGAGGACAACAUGUUGUUCCGUCCCGGUAGACUCUCUAUGUAUACGAGUGACCUGGUUUACCUGGAUUUCCUAAACGACCGUUAGUACUUCUUGUACAUGGGAUCGAUGUGAAUACGUCUGUUCUACCAACUACACCUGAAAUUGCAGCCUCAGUGAAGCCUGUUCGACUUCUUAAAUCCCACCUUUGGUUCCUUCUACCUCCUCUGUGAGCACCUAACAUAGCUCAGGAUGCUUUUUCGUCCCGAAGAACCCCAAUGUCUGCUGCUUGGUACAGCCGAAGGUAAGUAGAUGGCUUACGGCGGAUAGGUCCUUACUCUUACUAGGGUAUUAACACGGUAACUAAGACGUAAACCGGACUUUGUAGUACUUUACACAAAACGUUUUUAUUCGUGCCCAAUCCAGAGAUAAAGAGCUGAGGAGGUGAUCAGGUAAGUCCUACCUACGUUUACAUUUUUAACACGUAAGCACGAGUGAAGGCAGUUCUCUUUCGCCUGAGACCUCCUCAUGAGAUUUUCAUCACUGACGUCUCAAUACUUGUGAUCAUCAUGUGGGCACGCAACGAUGCCCGAUGUUACGUAUGUUUAUUUAGUGUGUUUACCAGUAUAGGUUGCAGUUUAAAAUAAGGAGUAUGUAGGCUCGUACAAUCCUGUAAUUCGUUCGAGGUGUUUUAAAUUGGCAGACCUAUCAGGGGGGUCCGAUGUUAUGUAUGUUUA